rnacentral:lncRNA from 1 species
CAGGCAUCGUGGUGCCCUGCAAGGAGGGCCAGCUGCGCGUCGGGGAGCUCACGCAGCAGGCGCUGCAGCGGUACCUGAAGACCCGGGAGAAGGAUCCUGGCUACUGGGUGAAGAUUCAUCACUUAGAAUACACAGAUGGAGGAAUCCUGGAUCCAGAUGAUGUUUUGGCAGAUGUCGUUGAAGACAAAGAUAAGGUGUCCUAGGAAUUCACGCAGGAAAGAUACCGGUGAUCUUGGGGAAUCUUGCUGUGUCCUUAACCUGGAAGACGCUCAGUACAAUGAAGUCACUUCUGAAGGAAUCAGAAGCCAGCUAGUGCACUGGUGAAAUUCUGGAUUUGUGAGCAUCAAAAAAAGAAGAGACUAUAAAAGAUUGUAACAUAUUGAAUAAAAAGGAGAAAGCGAUAUUGAGAAAGCGAUAC